CAGAUUGAAAACGGCAUUCAGUUGAGUCGAAAUCAGUUGUGAAAUUGAGAAGAGCAAUGUGACUAGUGUAUCAUUUACGAAUACUUCAUCAUCUUUGGCAGCUAUAUCAUCAUUUUCGGCAGCUAUAAAAUCACAUUCGGCCGCUACAUCAUCUUCGGAAAAUAAUUCUUGGAGUUUCGACAUUUUAUUGAAAUCUUAGUGUCCGCUG